rnacentral:tRNA from 1 species
CUGUAUAGCUCAGUUGGCUAGAGCGCUCGGUUCAUACCCGAAAGGUCGUAGGUUCGAAUCCCACUACAGCC